AGGUUAUCUCGUCAUGGUGCACUUCUGUGUCUAAUAAUGAAACCUUUCCAGACCAGGCAGAGCCCGACAGACUGCAGAAUUCACCAGUCCCAUGCAGCUCCGCAGUAGUGCACUCUGCAGUACUCGACCCAAGUCAGGCAACCAGCUCUUCUGGUCUUUUCGCUGGCCACUGUGGUCCAGGUCAACACUCUGGUCCAAACCAUCCUGCACCUGUUUGCCGCAAGCUCACGAAAAGGCCCGAGGACGUUAUCAAGCGACUCCAGGCGAGAAUUUCCAGCUACAGAAAGACGAUAGCCAGACUGCGGAAACAGCCGCUGAAGACGCCUC